CCCUUCCCUCCGGUUCUCCGCCGGUGCUCUUGACUGAGUGUCGGCGGCGGCCGGAACGUUUACUUUGAAAAAAUUAGAGUGUUCAAAGCAGGCUCUCGAGCCUGGAUAAUGGUGCAUGGAAUAAUGGAAUAGGACCUCGGUUCUAUUUUGUUGGUUUUUGGAGCGCGAGGUAAUGAUUAAGAGGGACAGACGGGGGCAUUCGUACUGUGCCGUUAGAGGUGAAAUUCUUGGAUCGGCGCAAGACGAACGACUGCGAAAGCAUUUGCCAAGAAUGUUUUCUUUAAUCAAGAGCGAAAGUCAGAGGUUCGAAGACGAUCAGAUACCGUCCUAGUUCUGACUAUAAACGAUGCCAACUAGCGAUCGGGGGGCGUUACAUUGACGACCCCUCCGGCAGCUUACGGGAAACCAAAGUCUUUGGGUUCCGGGGGAAGUAUGGUUGCAAAGCUGAAACUUAAAGGAAUUGACGGAAGGGCACCACCAGGAGUGGAGCCUGCGGCUUAAUUUGACUCAACACGGGAAAUCUCACCCGGCCCGGACACAGUGAGGAUUGACAGAUUGAGAGCUCUUUCUUGAUUCUGUGGGUGGUGGUGCAUGGCCGUUCUUAGUUGGUGGAGCGAUUUGUCUGGUUAAUUCCGAUAACGAACGAGACUCUGGCUUGCUAAAUAGUUACGCGACCAUCCCGGUCGGCGUUUAACUUCUUAGAGGGACAAGUGGCGUUUAGCCACACGAGAUUGAGCAAUAACAGGUCUGUGAUGCCCUA
rnacentral:ncRNA from 1 species